rnacentral:rRNA from 1 species
GCCGUGGGCGCUGGAGAACUGAGGGGGGCUGCUCCUAGUACGAGAGGACCGGAGUGGACGCAUCACUGGUGUUCGGGUUGUCAUGCCAAUGGCACUGCCCGGUAGCUAAAUGCGGAAGAGAUAAGUGCUGAAAGCAUCUAAGCACGAAACUUGCCCCGAGAUGAGUUCUCCCUGACUCCUUGAGAGUCCUGAAGGAACGUUGAAGACGACGACGUUGAUAGGCCGGGUGUGUAAGCGCAGCGAUGCGUUGAGCUAACCGGUACUAAUGAACCGUGAGGCUUAACCUUACAACGCCGAAGCUGUU